GCUGCUGGGUGAAAGAAGAAAAAAAAAAGCAGAAACUUGGUUAAAUUUGUGUACGAGUACAAUAUCGUGCGUUUUGUGCCCCAACGAUAAGAUCGCGUCCUCAUUGUCUUUCACUCCACCUCUACUUUGUUCGGCAAACACUUCUUUGCUGACUCUGGCCCAGAUUCUUAUCUUUCGCCACAAAACUGGUGCGAUCUUGAAAUGCUCGUGCAGCCCGGCUUCAUGCUCCUUUCUUUCAGGCGACAUAAAUAACAGGGCCAUGGUCGUAAAUAUCUAUAAUCCCACAGCAUAAUAAAGGGAAUUAUGAGGCCAUUAAAAUGUUUGCCAAAAAGAGUCGAACGGAAAGAUAUAGAAAUACAUAAAUAUUGCAAUGUGGUGUCGGAAAAAAUCUAACUACGCCCUUGGGAGUGUUUGUUAUUUGGCCCAAGGGUACAAAUAAAAACUAGGGGCGUGUUCUUCAGUUGACAUCAUUUUUUGGAUUGACUUUUUUAUCUGUAUAAAUAAAAACAAUCCGUAAGUUCCAAAAUCCACCAAUUCCAAUUCUGGUUAUCAUAAAUUAAAGUACUUAAUAUAGUGGGCUUUGACGGCCAAGUCGAUCCAUCUUACUCGUAUUCUGCAGUUAUGUGCACAGCUAAUGUUAAUAACAUUUAAUCAGCGCUCAUCAGGUUUUAUAGCCAUUUCCAAAUGAGCAAUUAGGCUAAUGAAAUUAUUAGCCAUUCGUUAUAUAUUGUGCCAUAAAAAAAUGCCAAAGUUAUGUGAGUAGUGCUGGUUGCUUAAGCGGGUUGAGUUUUAGGUAGUUAAGUGGGUAAUGAAGAAAGUUCUAAUAUUAAAUGAGCCACUUUUAGGGGAUUUUCGUAAUAAAAAGAUAGGCAAUCUUUAAUCUUUAUAUAAUCCAAUUUUAGAUUGAUUUCAUCCAAUAAAUGAAAUGUAAGUACCAAAAACUAUCUUUCAUGCAUUCGACUGUAGGUGCUCGAUUCUUUACAAGAUUGCAGUUAGGAAAUCGCGAUGAUAUGAUAUAUCAGAUCAACUUAAACUAAUUAUAGAUGGCUCUACACUCAUUGCUUAUCAAAUGAGGUCUUCCUUUUAUGACUGCAUGUGCAAUUCUAUCCAUACCAUAAAUAGUUGCCCCAUAAAGGCGAUCGUAUAUAUCAGCAUUUAGAGCUAUACGAGUGAAAAUUACCGAUUGAGUAGUACAAAGGGGUAUCGAACGAGUGCCGACAAAAGCUGAAAUUACAGUCGAUCGUAGUUAUAAGUGUACAUAAAUGAAAUGAAUAUUGCCCACUCACAGUUUGUGCCAUAAACACGAAACACGGUUUUUGCAAUAAAAUCCAUUUCGCCGCAUGCCAUAAAUUAUGGCCAACGGAGAAAGAAGAAGCAGACGGCGUGGAAGCGGAAAGGGAAAACCCGAAACUGAGGCGAGAGUUGAACGUUCAUAACUCAUCGCCCAACUACAACGAGCACUCGCACUCACACUAACACUCACACUGGCACUCACAGCCACAUUGAAUAUAAUGACGUACACUCACUCGGCUUGUUUGUGGCAAGUCUGUAUAUACGAAUAUACGAGAGCGUAAUUACGCUUAUGCCCAACUGGCGCAAGUCGUAAACUACAAAAUAUUGAAGCUUUUAUAACACUCAAUGGGCCGCCAUAAAUUAUUAUGAUACUAUUGUAAAAAUGGCAGAAUUUCUUAUCGGUACUUAAGAGUACUUUGGAUGCCCUGUAAUCAGAGUGCUUGUGUGUGCUCAUGAAAGGAGUAACAUUCAUUUUUGUGCAAGGGGAUAAUUCAGUGGCGAGGACGAUGAGGCUUAAUAGUAAUAAUUCAACAGGCCACAGCAGAUGGUUAAAUAAAUAAAAAAAAUCUUCAAGGAUGUUCCACUUGUUACUAUACUUCAAUUCUCAAAUAUGGUUUGUUUGAAUUGAUAGGUAUGGGUAUUUAAAGUGCUUGCUAUAAAUAUAUAUUUUUGUAUCAAGUAUUACAGAGUAUACUCUUAGUCAACCUAUAGCCAGCCCUAUCAUACUUUAUACAUAUUUGAUUUGAAUUUUAUGUAGGCAUGCCAAGGAACCCCCACAGUCCAAUUCUCCUCAUCAACACUUUAUUAAUUAUUGGCGCAAACAGAGGGGCGAAACUCACUAUAUUCGGUCUCGUUUUUAGCACAAUUAGUCAUAAUUUAUUAUCAUGUUGAUAAAGUUUCCGUAUUGAUUUUCGGUAUUACGCAUAUUCGUGUCGCACAUUUUGUGCUUUGUUUGUGAUUUAGUUUAUAAAUAUUUCCCAACCCCAAACUACUUACGUACAUAUACUCGUACGUGUGCGUAGAUAGAAGGGCCCAUAUGGGGCUUGUUUAAUUUAUGAGUGGACAAUAGCUUCAUAAAACGUAGAUAUAUUUUAUUUAUAUGUGCGAUUCGAAAUGGUAUUACUCUGUGUCUGACCUGUUCACAUAAUAAUUGAGGCCAUGUGGGGGUAAUUAAACAAAUCAACUUCUGCUGUAGUGUAACUAGGCCUAUCAAAACUGUUUACUAAGCGGUCUUCAAUGCUGUUUUAUGAACAUGCUAAAACUUUAGAAUAUCCGCCCGACCAAAAUACUAGUUUUUAACACUUAAUUAGCUCUUAAAAGCCAAUGGAAAACUAAAACCGAAAACCAAACAAAAAAACGUAAUAUAUACGUAUAAAUUAUGGGUAUUGUGAUAAUUAAAAUGUUACACCUUGUGAAAAUGUGUAUUCAAAACAUCGACACUAACAAGGUAAACAAACAACAACCUGAGUAUGGCAAUAAAAAACAAGUGACUACGACAACAGCAGUAGUCAUGGCUGAGCAAGUUGGAAAUGAAACCUCAACUGAAAUGCAUUUAGUUAUGCCUUUGCACAAUCAAGUCACAGCCGCUUGUUAAAUGCGUAUAAUUUAAUUAGACACUUUCGACUAAACACACUCAGCUGUCAUGAUUUGAUUUGAUUUAUUAUCGUCUGUGUACAUAUUUUUAAAUGCUAAUUUAAUAGUAAAGGUGUGUUAAGUUGGCCACAGGCAGAGCAAAUGAUCUGUUGUCCGACUUUUAUAGUGUUCGAAUUUUUCUUAGCAAGAGCACUUCCUUGUCUGUAAGACUGGUAAGCAAAGCCACCGAUUACCAAGGCUGUCUAAUUGAUCCAAUUUAUCCAAGAUCUUGGCCAAAACAAAAAUAGAAACACCAUUCAUCGGCACGCCAUACAAGUUAUUUGCUUGGCAUUUCACACAAGUGUCACUAACAAAUGCCUCAAGUAUUAUACAAAUUAACAAGAAAAGCUAAAUGUGUCAAACUAUUUUAUAGAGCCCCAAGCCACUUCCCCGCCAGCCCAUUGAAAACACUCAGCAUUUGAGAAGUAUGACACGUCGACAUACUUAAGUCAUCAUCGCACGUAAAGUUGGAACAAUAAAAGAGUCUCUGGCAAAUAAAAGUAAAGUAAAUUAUAAACAAAUAAAAGCGGCACGCGAAGCUUUUGGGUUGAUCGGGGGUCGAAGGCAAAGUGUAUGGCUCACGCACUCGAAGAGCCCUUGAAAAAGCAUACUUUAUGUUAAUAUGACAAACAAAAUGUUGAAACUUUGUGUGUUUCACUUCUUUUUUUUUUGUUUUUUUAUUGGUAAAACGAUGACAUGACAGUCAAGUGGGGGUUUCGUUUUAUUCGAGGUGUUGUAAGGGAAGUCAUGCAGUCAACGAAAGUUGCUAAGAGACAAGACGAAUGCUUGACUUCGGUCUGACAGUUUAUCAAACUGAAUCUUUUGAUCGAUUUACUUUGAACACCCUGCCGAAAGGUAUAAUGUUUUGAAAAGAAGCAAGCGGAAGAGUGUACACUUGAAUGGCUUUUUUACGAGGGUUAUCGUCAGGGUUAUUAAAGCAAAGUAGCUUUAAUUUCAUAUACUUGAGUUAUGUGCUAGUAAACAGCAAUAAAAGUUAUCUAAAAUGGAUUUCGAGAUUUAUCGUGCCACCACGACUCUUUCUUCUUUUACCACAUUUUUUGCCGGCCAUAUUUUGUAAAAUGCAAUUUUCAAAGAUUCAGCGGCUCAGGAAAUUUCCUUCCCUCGCUCACAUUACGAUACAGAAAUAGCUGCUAUAAAUAUGAAUUACAGGAUAAGCAUAAAAAGCGGAAAUUGUGUGCCGCCGCCAUCGUCGACAACGUUUUGCAUAAGCCAACGGCAACGUCUUCAGCAGACCUUUCCUCCCAUCUGAAACCCAAAACCAACCCAACCCAACCCAAUCCAAACCAAGCCAACCCAACCCAUUCCAACUCCUGACUCAGUUUUUUAAGACGCCCUUGCAGUUUUGCCGGAGAAUUAUAAAAUAAGCGAUAAAAAUGGUAUAAAACUUUAUGCAGACUUUGUAUUUUCUUCCCUUUCUUACUCGGCCCCUCCUUCUCUUUCUGCCCCACAUCGCGUAUUCUGAAGACCCUGACACUGGGAGUGGGUACUCUGUCGUUAUACAUAUUAUGCAUGUAUAUUAUAUCAUUCCGCCUGUUAACACCUUUUUGUGUACGCUUAUUUAUAUACGAUUUUUCUUCGUUUUCGGGCGAUAAUAAAUUUUGGCGUGGUUGUGGUGAAAGAGGAACAAAUAUAAAUGUAUAUGAGAAAUUUGCAUAAAUGGCUAUAAAAUUAUUAAGAGCCUUGCGCCCAAGUUGAAUUAAAUGAUUCAUCUAGACUUUUAAUACUGUGAGCUGGGCGGCAUGAAUAUAGAAGUUUGAACAACUAACUUGUCGCUUUUUUUUUAUUUUUAAAUUUGCUUACACUAAGGAUUAAAUAGCUGCCAUAGACUACUAUCAUAUAUGUACUCUAAAUUUAUGCAAACCUAAUAAUUUUAAAAGCAAAUAGUUUAAGACUUCCUAACAAUCCUAUUAUUAGAUGGUUUAUUAGUUAUACAUUUUAAUUAUUUAUUUAUAAAUGAAUUUAAAGUUCUAGGUGUAUAAUGAUCAAGCUGUGUAACCUUUUUCGAACCCUCAAUAAUUUAAAUUGCUUGUCAAAAAGACAAAAAUGUUAAACGAUUACAACCAUUUGUUUUCAGGGUGGCCUCACCCCUUAGGAAACCAAAGCACAUGCUUAAAGGUCACAAAUGAUUAGACCCUCCGCUCAACCGUAACCCCUUUCCGCACCGUAGGUCCGUAGUCCGUAGUCCGUAGUCCGUAGUCCGUAGUCCUACCACAUGUAUAGUAGAUAUGUAGACGGCCCGGCCAGUGCGACCACAACUGCAAUUCAAUAUGCCUGUUGGUUUAUUUUCAGCCGGCACGGCACAAUGGGAGAAACACAAAACCCUGUCACAUUAACUGUCAACUGCCGCACAACUGACACUUGUCAUAUUGACAACCGACAGCGUCAUUUGACUGUCAAACGCGGGCCAACAGAGUGAACAAAUGGCAAAUAAAGCCGAGAUCCGACGAGGCCAUCCCUGGCACUAAAAAAGCCGACUGUUCGACUAUUCGACUACUCGACUAUUCGACUAGCCGACUAUAUCCAUGUGGCAUGUGGCAAUGCCUGGCGUGGCAUAGAGUUGCCACUGCCGGUGAAGAGCACUUGGCGUUAGACAAUGUUGCAAUUUCAGACGUUGCAUGAGUCUGAGUCCCAACUGUCAGCCAUAUCAUUGCAAUUGUCACAGUGGCUUGCUGCUGCUGCUGCAGUUGCUGCUGCACUGGGUGCACUUUGAGUGACACAUUAAUGCCAUUUUCAUGUGUCACUCUUUCUUUCAUUUGCAGUGGCCCCACUCGGCGGGGUCUCUUGGAAAACUUGGCUGGGGUCGUGUCUUGUUUCUCUGUUAGAUUUCAUGUCAGACUUUUGUCGACAUUACGUGUCUAUUUAGUUUUCAGUUGGCAGUUGUUAUAGCUUCGCUGCUGCUGCUGCUGCAUUUUCCGUUGGCCUUUUUUCAUUUUGGUUUCCAGAGCUGUGUAUGCAAACAUUUGUUUUUCGUCGCCGCAUUCCUCACUUCGUUUUUCUUCACCAGCAUUUUUUGUAUACUUAUCUUAGUUGUUUUUUUUUUGGUGUAGCUGUGCAAAUUACUUUGUUGUUUCUGGCCUUUUUAUUUGCAUGGCAAGUAUUUUUUCUAUCUUUUGUCAGGUGUGGCUUAUUUGGCUGCCCAGGUGGGUGACUCAAAUUAGGAAACAAAUGCGAUUACGGUAAUUAGGGGAUGCGAAUAAAUAUUUAGGCGCUUAAAAUAGUUUCAACUCUUUGGGUGACGUAAGCGUAAUGAACACGUGGACUGGGCUAUAGCUUCUCAUUUAAUCCAAUUGCAAGGUGCUACAUCUAAGUCUGUGGGUAAACAGUGCGUAUACGCAAUGCCAUUAACCCCGUAGCCUCUACCAAAGUUAAUUGCCACAGAAUGGGAAAAACAUUAACAAGGCAAUGCUCGCUUGCAGAUCUAUCACUUAAUCUCACUUCCCUCUGGCGAUGUACACAUUUUUUUUCCUGCUAUUGAUGUCAACGCCAUUAUAUUCCAUUAUACCGCUCAUCACUCAUGUGGCAGCAGAGCAGCAAAACACAGCGUAUACAAAUAAAAUACGACUCAAAAAUAAGGCCUCUCAAGGUUGCUCUUGGAUUAGCGCAGCUGUCUCAGCCUAAUGGUGUUUAUUUUUUCAAUUCUCGCCAUCUCUAUCUGUGUAUGUGUGUAUCCUUAAUUUGGACAACGUGUUUAUCAAUCAUACGCAACGUGCGCCUGUCACCUGCCAUCGUCUGUCCAGCGCUGUGAUGGAAUGCGUCAACGUGGGCGUUACUUUAUGACGGGCUGUACUUCCUCCCGCAAUAAAAAAAAACACUGGCUUUAUAUGGUAUUCAAAAAAAAAUGUAUACAUAUGCGUAAAUAAAUAUGGAAUUAACAGCUGUGAGGGUUAUGCAAACGCGAAUCAUUGUUAUUAUCAGCAUACGCAAUUAUUUACUUUGCGGAUUCUUUCGGAAUGACUCGGCUUAGAUUAUCUUAUUUUCUUGGCAUUAUCUUUUUUGUGGACAGAAUGUCUCGCAUUAGGUUUGCUUAGAAUAUUUAGUGCUAUUAUUAACAGCACUUUAUUGAGAUUUAUUUGAGAUUAUCAUAAGUUGUUCAAAUAUAUUAUUUAUUUUUCUGCCUAUAUACCAAAUAUCCUAUAAGUCGUUCAAUCUAAUUAGAAAGGUAUAGUAAUCUUUAGGUCAUUUGAAUGGAAUACUUAAGUUCUGGCAAUCUCAUUAGUCGAGUAAAGUGUAUGCCUACAGUUUAGCACCUCAAAACUGGACCAUGAGGGGUUCACAGAAUUUCAAUGUAGCAGUCCCGCACCGAGCGCCGAUUAUUUCACCACAAAUCUUUGUUGUUCAUCAAGAACAAUAAUUUCGAUAUUUUAUUCCCCCAUUUAGAGGAAUUCGCAUUUAUUUGCGCCUGUGUGCUGUGCUGUGUGGCAGCUGUUGGCCUGGCAAAUUAGCAUAAAACCAAGCAAAAGGUGUCUGUCAUUGCUGUCAAGUGAAUUGAAUGCCUGUGCCCACAUGCGGCAUUCAUUAAUUCCUACUUUCCGACUGAUCCGCGCCGUGUUUGUCGCACAUUUUUUCUCGAUUUUAUUUUUAUUAAGAAAAAUCUUUAAGCUGACAGCUGACUAAAUUAAUUUGACAAUAAUUAGCAUUUCAAGUUGUCAGCGUUAAUGAAAUUUCCACCCCUCCCCGCCCGAUGCACUCGCCUCCAUCGCGAUCGCAUAAUGAACCCAACGACACUUUAUUAUUUCAGUCCACUGCAACUGCAGCAUUAUUGGUGUCUCACUGGCAUUGUUGGCUGUCAACUGGCUGUUGCCUUGGCUCGCCUGUCAAAAUGCCAAAUGGCCGACGAGCUGUGAGGCGGUACGGGGUGCUACACGGUCCGAAAAGUCCUAGAACUAGUCUCUAUUCCCCUUCAAUUUUUUAAGUACAUACAUCUUAACAAGAUUUCCGAGUGUGCAGAUUUAAAGGCAAAGGCUUAAGCCAACUUUUAGGCAGCCGAUUUUACAGGAAGAAAACAUUCUGUUUCAUAAGUAAGCUCUUGAUUAUUCACUUUCCUAAAGCUUUGCCGUUUCACUGGGCCACAUCCCCGGUAUAAAAUCUCAAGUCCGCAUAGUAUAUAAAAUGGCAAGAACGAUUAAAAUUCUCCAAGUGUAUGCCGCUGACGAUGAGCCAGAAGAUGCGGAUCACACCCCUCCCAGACCCACAAAAUGUUCGUUCGGAGGUGUCAUUCGCAUUUGGCAUCGCGUUAAUUACGUGUUAUUUAUAAUUAUGCCGCUCUACAGUUGCGUUGACAAGUGUUGUCAGCAUCCCGCCCUUCUUCCUGCCACGCCCUCCUUGCCCCGCCCUCUUCUGAUUAUGUUUUCAUCUGCAUUUGCAGCCUCCUCGUUUUUGGCAUAAUUCAUUUUACCGGCUUCCCUUGCGUGCUUGAAUUGCGUUUUUUUAACAACACCAUUAAGUGGAUUUUUGUCGUUCUAAUGAUCUCAACUUCUGGUGGCUGUUUUUUGCUUGUUAUUUGGGUGAAAUGUAAAUUUUGGUUGCUUCUUUUGUACAUAAAAAAUGAUGUAUUUAAACAUUAUUUUAAAUUAGCAUUGGGGCCAGAUUAGCCAUGCUUCACUGUACAUAUGCAAUAGAUACCGUUACAGAAACGACUAACUGAAAGCUCGGUAAAGGAAAACAAAUUGUUGUUGCACUUCCGUUGCCAGUCAACUCUGACAGCAAGAAAGAGACGGCGCUAAAGGGGCAGAGGGAGAUAGAUGGAGAGUGGGAUCUUCCACUAUUUUAGCACUUCGCGCCGUUUCUGCCAAACUGACAGCUUUGUGUUGCACAGCUGUUAACCCAUCUCCCCAUCUCCUGACCAGUACACAAAAAGUAUGUUUUAGGAAAAAUGCUAUGUAAAUCUAACUACAGCUUUAGAACGCUGAAAAGAUGUUGGCCUAAAAUAAUAUUACAAGAGGGUUUUGAAUUUUCUAGUUUAGUUUAAACUAACAGAAAAUAUUCAAGAUCUCUUAUAAGAUUUAAAUAAAAUGUAUAUUUUUUAUACAUUUUCCUCAGUGCAGAUACAAUUCGCGAAUAAAAAAUGCACUUGGCCUGUCUAUUCCAAAAAACAAAACUGAAGCAGCUGGAUUUUCGAGGGGAGCAACAGAGACAGGGAGUACGGCUGAAUGACGUGCUGACGCCUCUUCUCUCGCUCCCUCCCCCUGCCCCCUGUCCACUGCCCCAACCCCCCUGUAAAGCCUUCUGCCUGUCUGCAUAAUAAAAUGCGAAAAUAUGCAAAUAGAGCCAAAUAACGCGAGCAGUGCAACCAACAACACACGCAGUGGAAAGGGGUUUUAGCGGGAGAAGCGGCCGGGGUAUCAACCCCUUCGUUAGAUUAUUUCGCUGCGAUAAGCCAAAGAAACUGAAAAAAAAGGAGAAAAAACUGUGCACAUUUUGUUGCAUUUUUUAUUCGCAAAAAUACGCCGAAAUGACAGGGCGACAAGACAAAAAGACAGCGGAGACAGCUGAAUAAAUGAAUUGCAGUAGGUAAAUUUUAUUCGCAACACUCGCUCGGCUAAUUUGAAUAGGCAGGCCCCCUUAGUUCCCUCGAUUUUCCCGAUUCCCUCGAUAAAGAUGCUACCCACACGAAAAGUGUGGAAAGCCUUUGUUCGGCGCAAGAUAUUUGACACGUGAUAACGCACAAGGCGAGCCUGGGAAAACUGCAGGAGGCGUGAGAUGUGCAUCGCAUUGUUCUGUAACAACUCGAUGCACUUCCUACCCUUUCUCUACCCAGUUUUCCCCCCCCUGCAAAGUCCAUGAAAAUGUAUUAGCUCUGGCUUGGAUGCAAGUCGAACAACGAAUGUUUAUAAUUACUGUUCCAGAUUGAUUUGUUAUUCAAACGUUCCCCAAUAUUCCCCAAUAGAAACGCUGUGCGUUUAUUCAGCAUUUUUGACACAUGAUCAUAAUCAAACACACUGCAUGUGGAUCGUUGAUGUGAACGAUUGCCAAUGUUCGUGGUGGCUGUCAGCAGCAUUUCCCUGCGUAAGUCAAACGAAUGUUUUUGUAACUUGACAUUUGACAUGACAUUCAAGUCAUUGGAAAGUAAAAACUGUGACAGCGUCUUUAAUUCGUUUUAUUUUCCCUAUGCGUUUUCUUUUAUUUUCGUUUUGUAUAUUUCAACCUUGCCAUUUUUGCCUUGAAGUGUCACAAGUACUGCCUGUCUAUAUGGGCGGGGGGUGGGGUUGGGGAAAGUGUCAACGGCAGUCGAAAGACAACAAAGCGAAAGAAAAACGAAAGCCAAGAAGAGCUAGAAAUUUGUAACCGAAUAGCAAUCAAAAAGUGUCACUUUGACACAUGUCAGUUUGUAUUUAAAUGAACUUUUCCGCCCCUUUUGUUGAUGGGGCAUAUUUCAUUGUUUUUUGUGCCCAUAAACAAAAUUAAACAAAGUAGGGAUAACAUUUCUGCCAAGUGUCAGUCGCCUUUGAAGGCUUGAAUUCAAUUUUUCGAUGCAAGCGAAAAAUAAUAAUAAUCAGUCAGUUUCCAGCCUGAAGGAACACAUCUAAUUUCAUUUAUUAGUAAGCAAAACUUUACAUUUAAUAAAAUGUUAUCUCCAAAUCAUUUUUGGUGUAUCCUAAAAAGUAGCACGGCUUUAAAGGCAAGCUGUAAAUAUUUAAAUCUGAAGAUUAUUUAUGAGGAAUUUAAUUUCUUUUGGUCUAUUGUUGCGCAGUGUGACGACCGGGCCAUAAUUUCUGUAUCGCAAUCGGUCGAAAGUCACUUUCACUUUCGUUGCUCGCCGUAAAUUGAGACCAGCUUGCAACACGAAAAGUAAUUUGAAACGCUUUCAAAUGACUGCCACAAAAUUAAUGGACACCAAUCAGACACUCACACAGAGUGCGACUCGUUCAAGUGGCGCCAAUUAAAAUGAUUAACAUCGCGAUAGAAUAAAUAAAAAAAUACAAAUACAGCCGAAAAAAAGUGUCUGCAGCGCGACCAACGGAAAUAAACGGAAUACCCGAUGAUAAGAGAGGGCUUUGAUAGCUCACAAGUUGUUUCAGCGCAUAAUUGAUGUGAUUGAGAUUGAUUGUUUAUUUGUUUUCCGCCCAUUCAGCGGUUUGAUUUGAUUGAAAUUGUCGCUGCCCAAUCGAAGCCCAAAAAAGGCGCCAGUUUGACCGCUUCGUGGGCUUAUCAGCCUUACAUUUUAGCCUACUUCUUUAAAUAGACUUUUUAUGAGCCCCCACUGGCUGCCUUUUACAGAGAAACCCAUAAAUUUGAACAUUCUUGAAUGCCUUGCGUUUCUUUAGAAUUUCAGAGCUUCAAAAGCAAUUUGUGUGCACUUAGUAUCAAAUGUUUUGCUGAGCUGUGAAAGCCCCCUUUUUUCCAAUGAUCUUUUUGGGGGUCUUGGUGAAUGAGCAUUUGGGCGGCCAGCUGAUUAAUAUUUAUACACAAUCUUAAGCCAAUCACUCAUACGCCCCGUAACCAACUUAAUGAUUGAUACCAUUUGAAACCCAUUUAAUUUUCACCAGAUUACCAGGGCAUUAAGAAUGCCGCCGUAACGGUCAAGCGUUUCGCUGGACAUGUGGGAAUUAUGGGAUUUUUUCACUCUGCGCCUCGGCUUUAAAACCAAUUUGGGAAAAUGCUUAAAGUAAAACCCCUUUGUCACAUGGCGACAUGGUCAUAAGCAUGUGCUUGGACAUAAUUAAGGUCGUUAUGGGGCGGCAAGUACCGAAACCUUUUAAACGGAAUCUUUUUUAAGUAGCAAUAAAUACAUUUUAAAUAUCGAUAUAUAUGGCAUGCAAUUCUUUUGUAUUCUAAAAUAACACGAAGGUACUGAGUGAGUAUUGUGCAUAUACUUAAAACCUGGCGCAACCCGUUUAUUCGUACAAUUAAGUUUGUGACACAUCUCAUGAUGCUGUUAAUGGCGAUGGUGAUAAUGCAAUUGACAGUUAUCAGCGGGCACAUUAAUUUGAUUACUUCUAUAUGAAUUUAUUGGUUAAUUUGUUGGAGCAUUUUACGAUUAUUGACUUUGACUGUUUUAUAACCCACAUUCGACCCUCCUCUCAGCCCCCUUCCCCCAAAUCGAUUAUCUCGGGCCAUAAUUUGUAAUGCCGCGACUUAACUCUAUGGAGAAAAAAAAAUACAUAAAAAACGGGUUAUUAUUUUGCGGUUAAAGCGGCGAUUGCAAUUCAUUAUCAUAGUUGCCGCCUCGCGUGCAUUUAAAUGAAUUCAUUGAGUUUCACCCAUUCAAUUUGUACAUACGCAAGCAUUUAGUUUUCAAAAUGAUAUUUGCCGUGAAUGGUUAUGACUAUAGUUUUCAAUCGAAAGGGGUUUCGGAGGUGUUGCCUGCACGAUUCGAUGGGGCCGAGUUUUAACUGAUAAAUGCCGUUUGAUUGUGCCCCUAAACGGCAGUAAUAUUGUUUGGGCGAAACGGAAACAUUGUGCUGGACGCUGCUGUUCAAGUUUUAUGGCUCUUUCUAUUUCAUACUCUAUAUUUAUAGUUGCUUA